CAGUUGACUCUAACGUGCUUUGUUAUGCAGAGGACUUCACGGUCCACUUAAUGACUGCCAGAGCUCAACUCAUCACUCCCACCUCCGUGCUGACAGUGUGAGGUGUUUGAUUUUCUCCAAAUCUGGUGCUGUGCGUUACGGCCAAACAUCUCCACUUUGGACUUGUCUGUCAACAGGACAUCGUUCAGAUGCAACUUUGACUAAACAGUCUGACCUUGGGGUGAAUUUCCUGGGAUUUCCAUUAAUGGGAAUACUGGGAAAGGUCUCUAAUAUUUUCCACUUUUGAAUAACCUUCCUCACCAUGUACUGGACUUCAAAUUAUUUAGAAAUAUCCUUACACCCAUUAGUGAUGGACAGCAACACUGCUGAAGGUAAAGAGGCUAAAGGUGACAAAUACGAGCUCUGAGAACAAUCACAAGUUAUACAGCAACCAAGUUUAGUUUUCCAGAAAGCAGUUAAGGAUUCCCAGUAAAGUGGGGGGAAAAGGGACAAUACAAGCACCCUAACACAUCUUCCCUACGACCAUUGACAAUGUUUCUGUGCCUUUGAGAAAUGGUGCACACGUGUGACUCUGAUUCUAAACAGCACUUUUCAUGACUUGGGCAUGGACAGGAUGAAGGCAUCUCUGCUUGGGACUCCAAUGUGCUGCUCGAGGACUGACAGUGUGACCUGGAGGAGUGUGACAGGCAAAAAAGGCUUGCUUGAUCUGAAGCCAAGUGGUCAUCUGUUGUUGGACUUUAGUGCUAAACAACCGUUUGUUCAUAAAGAAAAACAUUGUAUUUGAGCAUAAGGGUUUGCAUAAGUGCAUUUUGCAGCAGGAGGUUCUAGACUGGUGGUCUGUGAGAGACCUACAGAGAGAUGAUGUCCCACAGCUUGUUUGGGAAUGCCUCUGGAGGAGGUGGCUGGGGAGAGUGAAGUCCCACCUUCUUUGUUUAGACUUCUGCCCUAGAUAAGUAACAGAAGAUGGAUGGAUGGACUUUUUCAGGGCAAGAACAUUUAAAUACCUAGAAUAUCUUCUUGUAGCUUUGCAUUACAAUUUCUACUGAACUAUCUGAAAGAAUAGCCCACCCUACCUUAUUCAAAUAACAAUGUGGCAACUGAUGCGCAAAUCAUUUUAAAUAAACUUUCAGCAUUUCAUUGAAGCAUAUUAAAAAAACCUCAAAUGGUCUAAUCUAAUAGGCUAGUAAGUGUUUUCUGCAGCUCUGUGCAGCUUCUUGGACCUUUGGAUUCAUUCUUUUGAUUUUAUGACUCAUUUGAUUCUGUCUAAUGAAACCUGAACCAGCAGCUGAAAGUCAAAUGAUUCUUUAUCAGACAAGGGCAAGUAAACCAACUGAAUCCACUGAAGCAUACAUCCAAUUACUAAAAAAGUUAGGAAAACUGGAGUUUAAUGGAAUAUAAUAUAAUGAAAAUAAUGGUCCAAGAAAAAUACAACGGUAUAGCCCAGGGCUGGACUGGGACAAAAAAUCGGCCCGGGCAUUUUGACUAGAGACUGGCCCACCAGGUAUUAUAGGAAAAACCAUAAAGUCUUUGAAUAAAAACAAACGCUG